AUGCAAGUAGAACGCUGAAGGAGGAGCUUGCUCUCUCUGGAUGAGUUGCGAACGGGUGAGUAACGCGUAGGUAACCUGCCUGGUAGCGGGGGAUAACUAUUGGAAACGAUAGCUAAUACCGCAUAACAGUAGAUGUUGCAUGACAUUUGCUUAAAAGGUGCAAUUGCAUCACUACCAGAUGGACCUGCGUUGUAUUAGCUAGUUGGUGGGGUAACGGCUCACCAAGGCGACGAUACAUAGCCGACCUGAGAGGGUGAUCGGCCACACUGGGACUGAGACACGGCCCAAACUCCUACGGGAGGCAGCAGUAGGGAAUCUUCGGCAAUGGACGGAAGUCUGACCGAGCAACGCCGCGUGAGUGAAGAAGGUUUUCGGAUCGUAAAGCUCUGUAGUAAGAGAAGAACGAGUGUGAGAGUGGAAAGUUCACACUGUGACGGUAUCUUACCAGAAAGGGACGGCUAACUACGUGCCAGCAGCCGCGGUAAUACGUAGGUCCCGAGCGUUGUCCGGAUUUAUUGGGCGUAAAGCGAGCGCAGGCGGUUAGAUAAGUCUGAAGUUAAAGGCUGUGGCUUAACCAUAGUACGCUUUGGAAACUGUUUAACUUGAGUGCAAGAGGGGAGAGUGGAAUUCCAUGUGUAGCGGUGAAAUGCGUAGAUAUAUGGAGGAACACCGGUGGCGAAAGCGGCUCUCUGGCUUGUAACUGACGCUGAGGCUCGAAAGCGUGGGGAGCAAACAGGAUUAGAUACCCUGGUAGUCCACGCCGUAAACGAUGAGUGCUAGGUGUUAGACCCUUUCCGGGGUUUAGUGCCGUAGCUAACGCAUUAAGCACUCCGCCUGGGGAGUACGACCGCAAGGUUGAAACUCAAAGGAAUUGACGGGGGCCCGCACAAGCGG
rnacentral:rRNA from 1 species